GACGAACGCUGGCGGCGUGCUUAACACAUGCCAGUCGAACGAAGAGCGCUGGAAGCUUGCUUCUCUCAAUCUUAGUGGCGAACGGGUGAGUAACGCGUAAUCAACCUGCCCUUCAGAGGGGGACUACAGUCGGAAACGACUUCUAAUACCGCAUACGAUCUAAUCUCGGCAUCGAGGCUAGAUGAAAGCUGGCCUCUACAUGUAAGCUCUCACUGAAGGAGGAGCUUGCGACUGAUUAGCUAGUUGGAGGGGUAACGGCGCACCAAGGCGAGGCUCAGUAGCCGGUCGGAGAGGAGGCAAGGCAACACUGGGACGGAGACACGGCCAAGACUACUACGGGAGGGAGCAGGGGGGGAUUUUUCGGAAAGGAAGCAAGGCGGAAGGAGCAACGCCGCGGGAGAGAUGAAGGCCGUCGGGUUGUAAAGGUCGGUUAAUCGGGAGGAAAGGACUUCUUGCGAAUAGGGAGAAGGAUUGACGGUACCGGAAGAGAAAGCCACGGCUAACUACGUG
rnacentral:rRNA from 1 species